ensembl:snRNA U6 U6 spliceosomal RNA
GUGCUCGCUUCAGCAGCACAUAUACUAAAGUUGGAAGGAUACAGGGAAGAUUAGCAUGGUCCCUGUGCAAGGAUGACACAAAAAUUCGUAAAGCGUUCUUUAUUUUU